UACGUAGGUGGCAAGCGUUGUCCGGAAUUAUUGGGCGUAAAGCGCGCGCAGGCGGUUCCUUAAGUCUGAUGUGAAAGCCCCCGGCUCAACCGGGGAGGGUCAUUGGAAACUGGGGGACUUGAGUGCAGAAGAGAAGAGUGGAAUUCCACGUGUAGCGGUGAAAUGCGUAGAGAUGUGGAGGAACACCAGUGGCGAAGGCGACUCUUUGGUCUGUAACUGACGCUGAGGCGCGAAAGCGUGGGGAGCAAACAGG
rnacentral:rRNA from 1 species